AUACAUAUAUAUAUAUGUGUGUGUGUAUACAUAUAUAUGUACAUAUAUACACACAUAUAUGUUUGUGUAUUAUAUAUAUACACACAUAUAUAUAUGUGUAUAUAUAUAUAUA
rnacentral:miRNA from 1 species